AAGGUAAAAUUCAUUACAAAGUUGGGUUCAUAGAGCAAAGAAAAGGUUCAAAAUAACCCUUCCAAAGUAUGGGCCUUAUGGACGAAUUCAAACUUGAAAGGCUCUUGGUUACAGCCGAAGCCCCUCUUGUACUCGUCUCUUUUGAACUUUGUUGAGACCCCCAAAACAAAAACAUCCUAAAACCCUUCGCUACUCUGAGUUCUCUUCUCUUUCCUCUUGUCUUUCAGAGAAAAUCAAAGGCUUUAGACAAUCAGACAGAGCGACAUGGAAAUCCUACUUUCCAUGGAUGUACUUGUAGCCUUGUAGAGAUAGGGCAUGCACCGCCACAGAGCAUGUUACGAAGAAGCCUCACUUUUUCCUCCAACUCCCACAAGCACCUGAACAAAUCGGUUUUAUUGAGUGGGUGGCGUGGAAGGCCGUACGCUGGUAACGCUAACGCUGCAGCUGCAGAGGCAGAUGCAGAGGCAGAGGCAGAAGCAGAAGCAGAAGCAGUGGCAGAAGCACCAAACCCAAAUGUCCGCAGAGUUAAAGGGAAAAGACUUUCUAAAGCAGAGCGCCAAACUAUGCUUGAACCCUUUGUCAACAAGUACAGAGCAAUGAAUGCUGGGGCAUUCCCUACUGUUUCAUGUGCUAAGAAAGAACUGGGUGGCUCUUACUAUGUGGUCAAGAGCAUCCUUCAGGAGUUACAAUACAAAGCUAAGAUGUCUCCCUGGUCUCCCGUAACUGUUGAUAUGCCAAAACAAGAAGAAGUUAGAGAAAUUGAAUCUUUGGCUCAAGUUGAAGAGAACUCAAACAGUCAGGUGUCAGCACAUGCCAGCACUCAAACUGAUUCUGAGGCGACAUAUGAUGCUGAUCUGCCAGGACAAGAGGAUGUUGGUGAAAUUGAAUCUUUGACUCAAGGUGAAGAGAAUUCAAUCUCUGAGGUGUCCGCAGAUGCGGGUGUUCAAAAUGAUUCUGAAGAGGCAUAUGAUACUGAUCUUCCAGGACAAGAAGAAGUUGGAGAAAUUGAAUCUCUGACUGGAGUUGAAGAUAAUUCAACCUAUGGGGUGUCAGCAGAUGCCAGUGGCAGGCAUUUAGAAGCCAAUGAAGAGGCACAUGCUUCCUCCUCAGUUGAGAUCUUGUCUGAAGAGGUUACCACUCAAGGAAGUGAUUCUGAUCUUGUUGUAACACAAAGUAAUUUGCUGAAAGUGGAUUCUGUGGAAUCUUCUUAUAAAGACCUUGAUAAACUUGGUAAUGGUAAGGAGGAAGCUAAGCAGAAUCUUUCUGAUUCUAUUUCUAAAGAACGUCAAGAAGAAAGAUUUGAGGUUGUUUCUCAUCCAUUUGGCAAAUCUGAGAAUAGUGAAAGAGCGGAAGCUGAAGCUGACAAACAAGAUUUUGUUGCAAAAGAACAAGAUCUGCCAAUAGGGGAAGCUAAUAGAGCCUCUCCUCCAAGUUUUGGUGAUACACAGGAUAUGAAAAAACAAGAACAUGCCUUAGAAGAUCUACCAUAUUAUGAUGAUUUAAAGUGUAAAAGAGAGAAAUAUGAAGAGAUCCCUCAGCCAGACAAACUUCCCAAAUAUAUGUCACGGUUAGGAACUGUGCUGUUUGGCAUCUACUUGGGUGGUUUGGUGGGAGAAGAACAAAGGGUUCUCUGAAGAUAGAGAAGAGGAGUUGGCAUGACAGGAUUGUAUUUUCUGAAUAUGAUUCUUCUGGAUUGGUCUUCAUUUUUGGAUUAGGUGGGUCUAUUUGAAUGAGUUCUAGUUUGGUCUCUGAGGCUCUGGCUGUAUUCCUUGUGCAUCAGGCAGCAGUUAAGUUUAGUAACUCAAAUCUUACUUUGGUAUCUUACCUCUUCUACUCUGGUUGGAGGAUGUUAAUGAACCGCUCAACCACCAGCCUUGGAUUGUGGAGACCUUCCUGGUAGGCAGGCUGAAGAUGCAGAGCCUUCAAGUAAAUCAACUCUAUGGGGGAAUAUGAAGUCAUUUGCUACUGGCAUUAUCAGUAUCUUUAGAAAACUGUAAUCUUUGUCU